rnacentral:lncRNA from 1 species
CGAUUUGUUGUUCCAACACGUUUCAUACUGAAAAUCAAAAUAUCUUAAGUCAUCAUGAUAUACUUUUUGUUGAGCAAAAACAUAUAAAGGGUACAGAAACAAAAAUCGGAAAAGUCAUUUGUUUUCAAUUUGAAAAUAGUAAGUAAAACGUUUGGAUUAAGUGAAAUUUUGAACUUUUAAGAUGUAGUUAACAUAAUUAAAUUAUUAUUUUGUUUGAAUCAAUUAGUAAAAAUUGUAUUGACAUAAAUAAAAAAAUCGUUUAUACUUGGUGUAUUUAAAGUGAGUUUUUAGACCACUAAGUAAUUAAUUAUUAGCAAUAUUGUCAUAAAGCCAUUUUAGUAAUUUUCAAAAUUUAAUUCGCUUGUAUUGAAAACUAUACGAAAUUGACCUAAGCCCUUCUUUCCUGGGACCAAAUUACCAGCCAUUAUUCACUAUGUAUAAAUAUAAUAUCAAAUAAUUUGCAGGGAUCAUGUGUCAAUUGAUUUUUAACUUGUAAAUAUUAUGAAAUUAUCAUCGAUUUUAAUUUUCAAAAUACCUACCUAUUUGAAUAUUAACCCGUAUAAAAUAACAAAUACGUUAAUACUUUGAUAAUUUAUCGUCUAGACUGAACACAAAUAUGUAAAUAAUGCAAAGCUGAACGUAAAUAUUUUUUAAUUUUUAUUUAAUUUUUAAACCUUAUUUAUACUUACAAAAUAUUUAUCACCAUAAAAAAAAAAUCAUACACGUUAAUGUAAUAAAUGCACAAACAUAUUAUUGUAAACGUUUGUAUUUAUUUCAUUAAGCUGAGGUUAUUUUAUGUUAUGUAUAAUACAAAUGGGACGGUUUGUACAACCCUUUCUAAAAUACAAUUUAAUAGGUAGACCAAAAUUGUGACUACAAAGGACGAUGUUCCGCAGUCUCGAACAAAAUCUAUAAAAUACCCAGAUCUAAAAAUGUUAACAGAUGAAUACUUACACUGGGGGGCCCUGGUGAAGUUCGAUAACACCUUAAAACCAGAUUUUCAAAUUUCGAUUUCUAUAUGGGCACUAAAAAUUUAUCUAUAGCUGACGAUUCUGAGCAAAAAAUUAACAACUGAAUUCGCUCUCUAGUUGUCAAGGUAGCCGAGAAAUCAAUACACAUUUUUUUAAAUCAAAUAAAAUCAACAAACUACCUCUGCAAUCCACCAACUAGAUUUCAAAAAAGUAGUUAUUGGAUUGGAUUUCUGAUAGAAAAGUUACCCACAAGCACGCACAAAAAAAAAUACAUAUCAUAGUACAAAGUAAAAUCAAUACAUUUAUCGAUUCGCUUAGAUUCUAAAACAAAUUUAAUUUAAUUUUAAUAACUUAUCGAUCACAGCAAAUCAAUUUGCAGGUAAAUAAUGUUUUGAAAAUGUGUUCAAACGGUUUAGGUACGUCUUAAAAAUACGUAUUUGUGUAACGAAAUGGUAUACGUAUAACAUAUUUGCUUUCAGAUUUUAACAAUAAUAAUUGACUACAAUUUCUACAACACGUUACACGGGUCAUAUAACUCAGUCUCGGUUUACCUACACCGGUAGGUAGUCUAAACAACUCGACUGUUUAUAUUAUACCUGCAAUAUAAAACUAUAAGAUCGAAAGCUAAUCGAGACAAUAAAAUAUAAGAUAAACGUUGCUGAUAGAUAUGAUGCGCUAGGUAUGUGUAAGUUAUUUUUUUUUCCAAUUUGUUUGUAUUUUCUUUUUUUUUAUGAAAAAAAAAAAUAUUAUAAUUAACACUAAUAAAAUUAUUGUAAAAAACGUUUACUGCAGUGUGGCAAAACUGUCCGAAGAUGUGACGGAGGGUAUUUAAACACACCGACAGUCGACCCAUAGACAUGAACAAAGGUAAGGAGUAAAAACUUUUUUACUGGAUAAAAAAGUUAAAGGAAGAGUUUGAUUUAACUACUCAGUUUUUAAGGAGAGGAAGUGGACACCCAGUGAAUAUUUACUAACCAAAAAAAUGCCCAAUGUGUAAGCAGAAAGUAUGUGCGGAUUUCUGAUAUUCUAAACUUCUAAAGUAUUCAUAAAACUUUGCUCCAUCUUCGCCGUGUUCUUUUUGUACACACAAAUUAAUAACUUAUUCAUUUAAUAAGCGGCCGCGGUAUCGAGUUGAUACGUAGUUGGUACAUACCUAUCCAACAAUAACGUUUUAUUAUUAUUACAAUUUAUACGUUUUUUAUACAGAUGUCGCGGUACCUACGAUAAAUAUUGUAUACCUGUAUCUAAGUAUUGUCACAAAAACAAAAUGUGUAUAUCCGUUUUCAGAAUUAAAAUUGAACAACCG